UUCUUUAUAUGUCUGGUAGAAUUUGGCUGUGAAUCCAUCUGGUCCAGGGCCUUUUCUGGUUGGGGCUCCAUGGUUCCUAGAGGCAAGGAAGAAGAGCCACCAGUCAAAUAGGUUUCAGCACCUCCAACUCCAACAUCUUCAAAGCAGCGACUGGGAAGAAAAAUAAUCCUUCUGACAACACAUAUUCAGACACAUAUGGUCAGCCUCAUGAAGCUCUGGAUACCCAUGCUCAUGACAUUCUUCUGUACGGUGCUACUGUCUGUGCUGGGAGAAAUGAGGAAGAAAAGAUAUGACAGGAAGGAAUUGUUACUUGAAGAAUGCUGGGGAAAGCCAAAUGUCAAAGAAUGUACCAAUAAGUGUUCUAAAGCCUUUAGAUGUAAAGACAAAAAUUACACAUGCUGCUGGACCUAUUGUGGAAACAUCUGCUGGAUAAACGUCGAAACCAGUGGAGAUUACUAAAACCGUAGCUUCCCACCAGGCUGCCACCUGUGUGGGCUGGGAAAUGUUUAAGAGGUCUCAUAGUAGUACCCUGUGGCUACUUUUAGGAACACCAGUCUAUUUUUACUGAGAGCUGGACAACAGCAAACACUUGACAAAUAAACUUAUUUACCAGU
rnacentral:lncRNA from 10 species